UAACAAUUGUAUAAAAUUGCAAUUGUCUCUAUUUGUAAUAAUAAAGAGCAAUAUUAUUUGCUUAAAAAAUAAAGCUGUCUGCUUUGUAAAUUAAUAAUUGUGUUUACAUCUCAACAUAACACGUAAAUACAUUAAAGUCUAAAAGGAUUUUUUGGAAUAAACACUUAAAUAAAUAUAUGUGCGUGUAUACGCUGAUAAAAAAAAUUUACAUUUCAUUUAGUUUUGUAACAGCGCAUUUGACCUUUCACGUUGACCAUCCCACACUUGCUGUCAGUGCAGUGCCUUCAUUAGGGUCAUUUUUAUGCUCCUGGUAGGGUGGCAUAUAGCAGUUGAACUGUCCGUCAUCCUUCAAAGUCAAAUGUCAAAUUUAUUGCGUCUGUCCGUCCGUCCAAAACUUUAACAUUGGCCAUAACUUGUUCAAUAUUGAAGAUAGCAACUUGAUAUUUGGCAGCCAUGUGUAUCUCAUGGAGCUACACCUUUUGAGUGGUAAAAGGUCAAGGUCAUCCUUGAAGGUCAAAGGUCAAAAAAAAUAAUCAAAGUGGCGUUCCUAUGAAGCUGCACAUUGUGAGUGGUUCAAGGUCAAGGUCAUUAGUCAAGGUCAUCCUUCAAGGUCAAAGGUCAAAAAAAUAAUCCAAAGCGGCGUUCUCAUGAAGCUGCACAUUGUGAGUGGUGUGAGUUCAAGGUCAAGGCCAACCGUCAAGGUCAUCCUUCAAGGUCAAAAGUAAAAAAAAAAUUCAAAGCGGCGUCCUCAUGAAGCUGCACAUUUUGAGUGGUGGACGUUCAAGGUCAAGGUCAUCCUUCAAUGUCAAAGGUAAAAAAAAAAUCAAAGCGGCGCAAUAGGGGGCAUACUGUGUUUCUGACGAACACAUCUCUUGUUUGUAAAUAUCCCACUGUUUAAGUUCAGCAAAUGUUUUAAGACCAGAUUUCCUUAAACUUGGGGGUGUUAUUAUUUUACUUUUAUUGAAUGCAUGAAACAUGUGUGUUCCGUUGUUGAAUAGCUAAACAUAGCUUGAUGUGUGUAGAUUGUGUGACAAAUGUUGAUCAAAUUGUUACAUAGAAAAAAACACAAUCUUAGUUAACUUGUAUGUGUUAAUUACCAAACACAAAUAUAAGUAUUUUGUAACAAUAUAAGUAUUGUCUUUAUUUGAAAUACAGAAUGAAAUGCAAUUUUAAAAUCAUGUCUUUAUAUGUUCAUCUUCUCCAAAUAAGCAUUUUGAAUAAGCAAAUAUAAUAUCUCUAUGGAAAGUAUCCGUAGGCCCCAUGCAAUCGCUUGUGUACCUCAUAUUGAUCAGGGUCUUUCUAAAUUAUUUCAUGAUUGGUUAUCCUUGUCUGAAUUGUGUAAAAUCGUGAGAUAACUGUUGAGAGGAUUUCAAUAUUAAAAGUUAAAAUAGUAUCUUAGCUGUAACCGUACAUCUGUUGCAUUUAUUUUAACAUGUUUAUAUGUUCUGGCUCCCUGAGUUUUAUAUUGUUUAUAAUCUUGCAUAUUUAAUUGUGUUUUAUAAGACAAACAUCAUUAUACUGAUAAUGUUGUUUUUGUCCAACAUUUCUAUGUAUACAAGUUGUAUGUAAAUAAUUAAAUAUGUUUAUGUUGAUGAUAUGUAUUUCCCGAUCUAAGUUUGAUGUUGAACUCUCAAUAAACGACAUGUUUUGCCAAUUAAAUCCCGAAUGAUUG